rnacentral:rRNA from 1 species
GGUGCAAGCGUUGCUCGGAAUCACUGGGCGUAAAGGGUGCGUAGGCGGCUUGGUAGGUCUGGUGUGAAAGCCCCGGGCUCAGCCCGGGAAGGGCACUAGAAACUGCCAAGCUAGAGUGCCGGAGGGGAGAGUGGAAUUCCUGGUGUAGCGGUGAAAUGCGUAGAUAUCAGGAGGAAUACCGGUGGCGAAAGCGACUCUCUGGACGGCAACUGACGCUGAGGCACGAAAGCGUGGGGAGCAAACAGG